rnacentral:tRNA from 1 species
GUAGGUGUAGCUCAGUGAUAGAGUGCAUGCUUAACAUGCAUGAGGUCCUGGCUUCAAUCCCCAGUACCUCG